GGCUCCUUCACUUGUUUCGUCAGAAGGUCAGGACCUCUAAGAAGAAGAAGAAGAAGAAGAAUUACUGUACUGUGUUAGAUGGGAAGGAUAUUCGUGGUAGAGCUAGAGGGAAGGUCUUACAGAUGCAAGUUCUGCAAGACCCACUUGGCCCUCGCCUCCGACUGUGUUUCUCGGGCUUUUCAUUGCCGCAGGGGAAAAGCCUUCCUCUUCAACAAUGCGGUGAAUAUUACAAUUGGAGCAUUAGAGGAGAGGAUGAUGCUCUCAGGUGUGCACACUGUUGCGGAUACAUUUUGCUGCUUUUGUGGACAAAUUAGUUGGGCUGGAAAUAUGAGACUGCACAUGAGACGGCGCAGAAAUAUAAAGAGGGGAAGUUUGUCCUUGAAAGGGGGAGGAUCGUUGAGGAAGUAGAUUUUUCUACAGAGUUCGAUAUUGAUUCUGAAGAUGGUCUGGAUUUUUAAUUUUCUCUUGAGUAGUUGUACCGGACAAUGCAGAACUGUUCUUAGGAUUUGAAUAAUGUAGAGUGAAACUUACAAGUUUGUUAGUAUGCAAGUAACUUCCUGAAUCAAUAAGGCAAGUAAAAGUGCACCAAGUGAUCAUACGUUUCGGUGUAUGUUAUCAAAGAUGGUUUCAUGCUACAGCAGUUGUACU